UACGAGGGGGGCAAGCGUUGUUCGGAAUUAUUGGGCGUAAAGGGUGCGUAGGCGGUCUGACAAGUCUGAUGUGAAAUCUGUGGGCUCAACCCAUAGUCUGCAUCGGAAACUGUCGGGCUGGAGUAUGGGAGAGGUGAGUGGAAUUUCCGGUGUAGCGGUGAAAUGCGUAGAUAUCGGAAGGAACACCUGUGGCGAAAGCGGCUCACUGGACCAUUACUGACGCUGAUGCACGAAAGCUAGGGGAGCAAACAGG
rnacentral:rRNA from 1 species